rnacentral:rRNA from 1 species
AUGAUUUGUGCAACAUUAGAGCACAAGAACCUGCUGCUGAUAGUAGACCAUGGUGAUACCCUGCAGUCAUUAAACAAAGAUGAUGUUCUGACAAAUGGAGUGAAGGAUCCACCUAAGGUUAUUACUCCAAAGAGGCAUGGAAAAGAAAAUGCCAGUUAUACAGAGAAAGAGCAGAGUCCUAGAGAGAAAAUGUCAAGGACAACAAGGAGAUCUAUGUCAUUUGGAGAAGGAUGUAGCUCAAGGAAUGCUAUGGAGGAGGAGAAUAUUGAGGAUGUUAACAAUAGUGAAGAAGAGGGAAAUGAUGAGGAUGCAGGAUCAGAAACAGAUGAGGAGUUCUAUGAGAGUGACUAUGAAGUUGCAGAAGGUGAUGAUGAUUUGUUUGACGCAAAUGUAGACAAAGAUGUUGAUGAUCACAGAGAGAAGAACAUAUUGCCAGACUUUGAAGAAGAACUUCCAGAAGAUGCUUUGGAGGACAGCCACUUAAAUAUGUCGAAAGAAGAGAAAGAGAAGCUGAAGCACAAAUUCAGUACUUUCAACCCAACAACUGAUCUGAAUGCACCUGUGUUUAAGAUUGGGUUGGUGUUUGCAGAUAUGAAGGAAUUGAGGCAUGCUCUCACUGCAUACAGUGUAAGGAAUAGGGUGAAAGUGAACAAGCUCCGAAAUACUUCAGUAUCACUAGAGGCUGUAUGCAAGCCUGGUUGCACUUGGUACUUGAAGGCAGGUAAAGAUAACAGGUCAAGUAGCAUACAGAUCAAGAAGUAUGUUGACAAUCACACUUGCACAAAAGCAUGGGACCUGAGAGUUCUGACUGCUCCUUUUCUUACUAACAAGUUCAGAGAAGAAUUCAGAGACAAUGAAAAAAUGCCUCUGAAGAAAUUUUCAGAUAAGGUGGAGACAGAAUAUAAUUUGGUUCCACACAGGAGUAAGUUGGGAAGAGCUAGGAGAGCAGCAGUGAAUCAAAUAAGGGGAGUAGAUGAUGACCAAUAUAAUACUUUGUGGGACUAUGGUCAGGAGCUUAGAAGGAGCAAUCCAGGAAGCCAGUUCUUCUUGUGCACUAAGGAAGUAUUUGAUGAGAAGACAAAGAAGGUACAAGACCACUUUUCCACAUUGUACUGGUCAUAUGAUGCAUGCAAGAGGGGAUUCAUUAAGGGAUGUAGACCAAUCAUUUUCCUGGAUGGUUGUCACAUUAAAACGAGAUACAAGGGAACAUUACUAACAGCCGUUGGAAUCGAUCCCAAUGAUUGUAUCUUUCCAGUAGCAUUUGGGUUAUGUGAAGUGGAGUCAACCCAUAGCUGGGAGUGGUUCUUAGCAUCCUUAAAGGAUGACCUGAACAUAAUGAACACCUCACCAUACACAAUUAUGAGUGACAAGCAGAAGGGAUUAAUAAAUGCAGUGAAAAAGGUUUUCCCUCAUUCAGAACAUAGAAACUGUGUUAGGCACAUUUAUCAAAAUUUCCAUAAAGUACACAAGGGAGAGCAGCUCAAGAAUGAUCUAUGGUCUAUAGCAAGGUCCACUAAUGAAGCUGCAUACACCAGGAACAUGGAUCUAAUGAAAGAACACAGCUUGGGUGCCUACACCUGGGUUGAGAAAUUGGAGCCAAGAACAUGGAUCAAAGCAUUCUUUGACCCGUUUUGCAAGUGUGACAUAUUACUAAACAAUAUGUCAGAAGUGUUCAAUAGUUACAUUUUGGAUGCGAGGGAAAUGCCAAUUAAGUCAAUGUUGGACCAGAUAAUGUGA